CAAAGGUUCCAAGAGUAACUACGAGCCACAGAGCCAGGACAGAAAGCCUCCCGACUCCCUGGGAGCCUUUACCAGGAACCCCUUGUUCUUCAUCAAUAAAAGCCAGCAUUACUUCUAGGAAACACUUCUAGUGUAUACAGAUCAGUGGUUGGCAUCAGAAAUGGCCUACAGCCUCUGAAUCAAGUGAUGAUUUCACCCCAGACAACAAGAACCCACGUGACUGUUGCCAUAGCAACGACCACACAUUACUAGUGCUCACUUCAUUCACUUCACCUGCCCACCACCUUACCUGUGUGUGGUAGUGCGUCUAAUUACAUCACAGCCCAAAUAAAAGACAGGGAUCCCAGAACCCUCACCCUUCUUCAUUGCCCUCCUGUUUUCCUCUUCCCUUCCCCUCUUCCCCUUAAUAAACCUUUUCUUG
rnacentral:lncRNA from 1 species